AUUCAUGGUCCCAUUUUCCUUACACAACGUAUGAUCCGGCAAUGGUGAAAAUACACGUCAUUGUAUUCCCAGUUGUAUCUUGCCAGAUAUCAUGUUGGCUUGGAGUUAGGCAUGUAUUACACAUGGUGUAACAUCCUACUUUUAAGAGCAUUUAAAAAUAUGAACUUUUCAGAAUUUUUCUUUAAACUAAACAUAUUUUGUUUUUUUCCAAAUAUUCAAACCCUUUUACAAAUCAAUCUUGCACGAAAUACCAAGGUGUGUUGUAUUUGGUUGCUCUAGUAACCCUUCGUAGACGUAAGCCUAAAUCCUUUUCCUCCAACCCUAAAAAUGUUUCCACGAUAAUACCAUUAUUUUCCAAAAACCUUAGAGAUAAUAUUUGAAUUUUAUUCAAGUAUUAACUCCAUCAACACCCUAUGCUAAAAUCCCUUUGAAUAUUAUUCAAAUCUGAUACUCAAAUCCUUGAUUCCACCUAUGAUUAAUCCUUUAAACCUCCAUAUGUAAAACUUAUCAAAAAUUGAAUUCCAUUCAAAUUCAAUCCCAAGUCUUUGGCAGAUAAUCCCAACUCUUUUUUUUCAAAAGCCCCAAAGAUAUUUCUUCCUAAAUCUAAACCCCCAAAAUCGUAGAAACAAUAUUCCUAAAAAUACGACCUUUUUUUAAAACCUUGGGACUAUUAUUCAAAUUUAAUUUGAAUAUUAAUUCCAUUCCAAACUUUAGGAAAUCACCAUACAAUCCUAAAUAAAUUCAAACAUCUUAAACUUCAAACCUCUUCAAAAAGCCUCAUUUCCAUGUCCAAUCCAAGCCCACACCUCAAAUUCAAUUCAAAUUUGAAAUCCAUUUCAAAAUUGAAUUCAAACUUAUCCUUAAACAAAUGGAAAACCAAUCGAAAAUAUCAAAUGGGCCGCAACCUCCCUUUCCACCUGGUCUUUCUUUUGGCCUGGCUUACCCCGCCUUUUCUUGCGCC
rnacentral:lncRNA from 1 species